CUCGUAGGCGGCCUGUCGCGUCUGCUGUGAAAGUCCGGGGCUUAACUCCGGGUGUGCAGUGGAUACGGGCAGGCUUGAGGUAGGUAGGGGAGACUGGAAUUCCUGGUGUAGCGGUGAAAUGCGCAGAUAUCAGGAGGAACACCGGUGGCGAAGGCGGGUCUCUGGGCCUUACCUGACGCUGAGGAGCGAAAGCGUGGGGAGCGAACAGGAUUAGAUACCCUGGUAGUCCACGCCGUAAACGUUGGGCGCUAGGUGUGGGGACUUUCCACGGUUUCCGUGCCGUAGCUAACGCAUUAAGCGCCCCGCCUGGGGAGUACGGCCGCAAGGCUAAA
rnacentral:rRNA from 1 species